CCUAGUUGGGUUGCAGUGCACUAGAGGGCAGUAUGAAGAGGUGAAAGGUCACGUUAUGUAAGCGCCAGUGACAGACGCGCGGGCCUCCGGCGGCGGAGUUGAAAGUGGGGAAAAACGGGGAACCGAAAGGCCGGGAAUUCAGAGAGUGAGAAGGAUCAUUGCCAGUAAAAGAAGGCAAUGGCAACCUACUCCAGCGUUCUCGCCUGGAGAAUCCCAGGGACGGUGGAGCCUGAUGGACUGCCAUCUAUGGGGUCGCACAGAGUCGGACACGACUGAAGCGACUUAGCAGCAGCAGCAGCAUAUAAGCCUCAGUAUUUUUUAAACUCUCCAGGUGAAUCCAAUAUUCAGCCAACUUUGAGAAUCAGUGCCCUAAAUACUUUGUAUAAAUAAAGUGUCA